rnacentral:lncRNA from 1 species
UCAUUUAUACCCUCUCUUUAAGCCACCAAGGGCUUUAUUGUAUUUUCCAAUCUUUUUAAUACAAAACAUCACAAUCUCCCCACCUUAUAAAAGUUUCGUCCUCGAAACUUAAUAGAAAAGAUUAAAUACUUACCGAGAUUAUCGAAACGAUGAGGAUACUGCCGACCUCCCUGUCCUCUGUUAGGACCUGUAUCAGACCGCUGAUGAAAAGAGAACUGAUUUUCCACCUUUGGCCUCUUGACCGAACCCACUGAUAAUUCAUCCUCUAACUCUCGUGCCU